GAACGAACGCUGGCGGCAUGCCUAACACAUGCAAGUCGAACGAGACCUUCGGGUCUAGUGGCGCACGGGUGCGUAACACGUGGGAAUUUGCCUCGGGGUAUGGAAUAACUCAGGGAAACUUGAGCUAAUACCAUAUAAUGUCUUCGGACCAAAGAUUUAUCGCCCUGAGAUAAGCCCGCGUAGGAUUAGCUAGUUGGUGGGGUAAAGGCUCACCAAGGCGACGAUCCUUAGCUGGUCUGAGAGGAUGAUCAGCCACACUGGGACUGAGACACGGCCCAGACUCCUACGGGAGGCAGCAGUGGGGAAUAUUGGACAAUGGGCGAAAGCCUGAUCCAGCAAUGCCGCGUGAGUGAUGAAGGCCUUCGGGUUGUAAAGCUCUUUUACUCGGGACGAUAAUGACGGUACCGAGAGAAUAAGCCCCGGCUAACUCCGUG
rnacentral:rRNA from 1 species